GAUGAACGCUGGCGGCGUGCCUAAUACAUGCAAGUCGAGCGAACAGAUGAGGAGCUUGCUCCUCUGACGUUAGCGGCGGACGGGUGAGUAACACGUGGAUAACCUACCUAUAAGACUGGGAUAACUUCGGGAAACCGGAGCUAAUACCGGAUAAUAUAUUGAACCGCAUGGUUCAAUAGUGAAAGACGGUUUUGCUGUCACUUAUAGAUGGAUCCGCGCCGCAUUAGCUAGUUGGUAAGGUAACGGCUUACCAAGGCAACGAGGCGUAGCCGACCUGAGAGGGUGAUCGGCCACACUGGAAGUGAGACACGGUCCAGACUCCUACGGGAGGCAGCAGUAGGGAAUCUUCCGCAAUGGGCGAAAGCUUGACGGAGCAACGCCGCGUGAGUGAUGAAGGUCUUCGGAUCGUAAAACUCUGUUAUUAGGGAAGAACAAAUGUGUAAGUAACUAUGCACGUCUUGACGGUACCUAAUCAGAAAGCCACGGCUAACUACGUG
rnacentral:rRNA from 1 species